AACAACGUUUUUCUGAAACAUACAUCACACCCGAUCACAUCUCACGAUAUCUGAAUUACUAUUUUUUGCUUUAAGUUCAUAACUGCCGAUUGUCAUCACUUUUGUACAUUUUAAUUUUGAAAUAAUGCAAAGAAAUUGAUUAAGAGAAUUGAAGUUGACAUUGCAACUAAGAGAAUGAAUAAAAGCAAGAUGAAAAAAAAAUGUACUAAUAAAUAAGUAAUAUGUAUGAAGCUGUUAAAUAAUGGCAAAAAGUCAUCAUCAUAGGUGGUCAAUCAAUUAGUCACAGGUUUCAAAUGAAAAUGAUGGUGACGGGACAGUCCAUGGAUCAAUAGCUGUCAGAGGUCUCUCAAAUGUAUUCCAAAUUAAAGGACAAUGAAAUUCCCAGAAUGGCCAAAACGCUCCGGGUUCCCUAUCCUCAAUUAUUUGGUAUGUAUAAUGCAUCAAAUUUCAAAAUCAAAAGGAGAAACGAGUGGUCAAUUGUUGAUGAGGAUGGGAAAAGGAGGGUGUGGAAGGUUCACUACCGAGUGUCUGCUGCACAUUGGAUACAACCUCAGAUGCCAUGAGGGUCCAGCUAAAAGGCAAAAUACCAAGACGAGAUGACUUGUCAUUGGGCCUGGUGUGCACCCAAGCCCGAAUGAAAUAUCUCAUCACUACUGCCGAGAUAUCUCAUCAUUUGCCUCACAACAGACGACACUUCGUUCAGUUCAAAGUUGAAUUUGGACUUAACUUCAGCACUUUAUUACAAUUUAACUUUUGCUAUUCAGAUUUAGUUCAACUAGUUUUUAGUUGUUUUUUGCUUGUAAAAUAUUUUACAAUAAUAAUAAUAAUUAUAAU